UGAUGUUUAGGUUUUAAAUAUAAGAUAUAAAUUUAAUUAUGGUUAUUGGUUUAGUUUACUGGUUUUAUUAAUCCAGGUUUUAUGUUAAAUAUUUUUGGCUGGUUUAGUAAAUUUUAUAUAUUUAGUAAUUUAUUAUUUAGUAAUUAGUUUAUGUUCUAACUAACGGUGUGCCAGCAGUUGCGGUUAUACACUGAGUGCAAGUUAAUUUAUAUUGGGUCGGGGUUGUAGAAUUUAUUUUGAUAGUUUUUUUUAUUUUAGGGUGAAAUCUUAAAUAUUUAUUAAUUAGUUUUUCUUGAAGCCCUGAUAGUUGAUUUUAAACUAGGAUUAGAUACCCUAUUAUUUCAAUGGUUAAUUUAUGCUUUUAAUAUUAUGAGCUAUGUUCUUUAAAGUAAAAUAUUUUGGCGGUGUUUUAGUCUUUUCAGAGGAACCUGUUUCUUGAUUGAUAUUCCACGAUUAUAUGUACUUAAUUUAUUAGUUUGUAUAUCGUCGUUGUUGAAUAUUUUUAUAGAAUAAAUUUUCUGUUUUGUUAUUAAAAUAUAAUUCAGAUCAAGGUGCAAUUUAUAAUUGAGUUUUAAUGGGUUACUAUAGUUUUAUUUUCGGAUUUUGGGUUUUAAAUUUUAAGGAAGGUGGAUUUGAUAGUAAUAAAUUAUUAUUUAUUUUUUGUGGAUUAGCUCUAAAAUAUGUACAUAUUGCCCGUCGCUCUCUUAGUUUGAGAUAAGUCGUAACAUAGUAGAUUUACUGGAAAGUGAUUCUGGAUAGCG
rnacentral:ncRNA from 1 species